rnacentral:rRNA from 1 species
GUGUCAGCCGCCGCGGUAAGACGAACCGUGCGAACGUUGUUCGGAAUCACUGGGCUUAAAGGGCGCGUAGGCGGACCGGAUAGUCUGCGGUGAAAGCCUCCAGCUUAACUGGAGAAGUGCCGUGGAUACUGCCGGUCUGGAGGAGGGUAGGGGCAUCUGGAACGCUGGGUGGAGCGGUGAAAUGCGUUGAUAUCCAGCGGAACUCCGGUGGCGAAGGCGAGGUGCUGGACCCUUUCUGACGCUGAGGCGCGAAAGCCAGGGGAGCAAACGGGAUUAGAAACCCUUGUAGUCC